CCGGCACGGGUGAGUAACACGUAUCCAACCUGCCGUCUACUCUUGGACAGCCUUCUGAAAGGAAGAUUAAUACAAGAUGGCAUCAUGAGUUCACAUGUUCACAUGAUUAAAGGUAUUCCGGUAGACGAUGGGGAUGCGUUCCAUUAGAUAGUAGGCGGGGUAACGGCCCACCUAGUCUUCGAUGGAUAGGGGUUCUGAGAGGAAGGUCCCCCACAUUGGAACUGAGACACGGCCCAA
rnacentral:rRNA from 1 species